rnacentral:misc_RNA from 1 species
UUAAUAAUAAGCUCAUCUUCUUCAUCAGUGAAAUUCCCCCUUUUAAGAUCAGGCCUGAGGUAGUUUAUCCAUCUAAGUCUGCAACUUUUGCCACAUCUAAGCAAUCCAGCAGCUUUAGGGAGGGAACGCCAACAGCCUUCACCAUGGACGCGGAUGUAGUCAAUAAGGCGCUCGUCUUCCUCCUUAGUCCAAGCUCCUUUGUUGGUGUGAGCUUUCUCACAGCAAGGUGAGCGUCCCAUGAGAGAAAAAUCAGCAGUAGGCUCAGAGGAUUAUAAGUUUAAGACAACGGGUUGUGUUGUGUUC